GAUGAACGCUAGCGGCAGGCCUAAUACAUGCAAGUCGAACGGUGUCUUCGGACAUAGUGGCGCACGGGUGCGUAACACGUAUGCAACCUACCUUACAUUGGGGGAUAGCCUUUCGAAAGGGAGAUUAAUACCGCAUAAGACAGUAGCUGGGCAUCCAGUAGCUGUUAAAGAUUUAUCGAUGUAAGCUGGGCAUGCGUCCAAUUAGCUAGUUGGUGAGGUAACGGCUCACCAAGGAAAUGAUUGGUAGGGGAACUGAGAGGUCAAUCCCCCACACUGGCACUGAGAUACGGGCCAGACUCCUAUGGGAGGCAGCAGUAGGGAAUAUUGGGCAAUGGACGCAAGUCUGACCCAGCCAUGCCGCGUGCAGGAUGAAGGCGUUAUGCGUUGUAAACUGCUUUUAUACAGGAAGAAACGACUCUUGCGAGAGGCAUUGACGGUACUGUAUGAAUAAGCACCGGCUAACUCCGUGCCAGCCGCCGCGGUAAAAC
rnacentral:rRNA from 1 species